rnacentral:rRNA from 1 species
AUUGAACGCUGGCGGCAGGCUUAACACAUGCAAGUCGAGCGGAGAUGAGGUGCUUGCACCUUAUCUUAGCGGCGGACGGGUGAGUAAUGCUUAGGAAUCUGCCUAUUAGUGGGGGACAACAUUCCGAAAGGAAUGCUAAUACCGCAUACGCCCUACGGGGGAAAGCAGGGGAUCUUCGGACCUUGCGCUAAUAGAUGAGCCUAAGUCGGAUUAGCUAGUUGGUGGGGUAAAGGCCUACCAAGGCGACGAUCUGUAGCGGGUCUGCGAGGAUGAUCCGCCAGACUGGGACUGAGACACGGGCCAGACUCCGACGGGAGGCAGCAGUGGGGAAUAUUGGACAAUGGGCGGAAGCCUGAUCCAGCCAUGCCGCGUGUGUGAAGAAGGCCUUUUGGUUGUAAAGCACUUUAAGCGAGGAGGAGGCUACCUGGAUUAAUACUCUAGGAUAGUGGACGUUACUCGCAGAAUAAGCACCGGCUAACUCUGUGCCAGCAGCCGCCGUAAUAC